rnacentral:rRNA from 1 species
UACGUAGGCAGCAAGCGUUGUUCGGAAUUACUGGGCGUAAAGAGUGUGUAGGCGGUGCUCUAAGUUCGGUGUGAAAUCCCUCAGCUUAACUGGGGAACUGCGUCUGAUACUGGAUGGCUUGAGUGUGGGAGAGGAAUGCGGAAUUCCAGGUGUAGCGGUGAAAUGCGUAGAUAUCUGGAGGAACACCGGUGGCGAAGGCGGCAUCCUGGACCACGACUGACGCUGAGUGAGCGAAAGCCAGGGGAGCAAACGGG